rnacentral:rRNA from 1 species
AACGCGAAGAACCUUACCCAGACUUGACAUGCAGUGGACGGCGCUAGAAAUAGCGAUUCCCUUCGGGCCGCUGCACAGGUGCUGCAUGGCUGUCGUCAGCUCGUGCCGUGAGGUGUUGGGUUAAGUCCCGCAACGAGCGCAACCCUUAUCAUUAGUUGCCAACAUUUAAGGUGGGAACUCUAAUGAGACUGCCUGGGUUAACCAGGAGGAAGGUGAGGAUGAUGUCAAGUCCGCAUGGCCCUUAUGUCUGGGGCUACACACGUGCUACAAUGGUCGGUACAGAAGGCAGCGAAACCGCGAGGUGGAGCAAAUCCCAAAAGCCGAAUCUCAGUUCAGAUUGUAGUCUGCAACUCGACUACAUGAAGCGGAAUUGCUAGUAAUGGCGUAUCAGCUACAACGCCGUGAAUACGUUCCCGGGCCUUGUACACACCGCGCAUA